UUACAAUUUCUCAAACGAAAAAAUAAGUAGUCAAACGCUUAUUUUUCCCCCCAAAUUAGAGAGCGCUGAUAUUAGGGUUUCUUCUCCCAAAUGCCUUAUAAGAAUUCCUCUGAAGUAAUUGCGGCAAUGUUUUCACUCGCUUUUUACUUCCUUCCAUGUUUAAAGGUAUAUAACUCUUCUACCACAUAUAUAUGGGUCCCAGUAGAAGACAGUACCGGUUGAUGUCAGAUGAGGAGUUGAUGAGGCGGCAAUGCUUUAGGUCAUGUUGAACAGCACUGCCUUAUGAGUGUAUUAUCCUCCCUGUGUUUGAAGCAUAACCCAACAGGGAUUAUUCAUUAGGUCUGGUUUGAUGCUUAGGAGCGAAUGUGUGAUAGCUUCUUCGGCAACAGGUUGAGGGAGUGGAUUCAGUAAAGCAGUAGAGGCAUUUUUGUAAGUGCGUCUUUUGCUAGAGUAGAAACAAUUGAUAGAAAAUUAAUGCAAGGCACUUAUGUAAAUGCAUUGCAUGUGUGUGCAUGUGCACUUGCAAUCUUGUGCAUUAUAAUUAAGUCAUUGCCAUAUGAAUAUGGAAGAAACUUAUUUUCAUGUGAUUCACUUGAAGAGAAUACUGCAUUGUGUAUUUGUGUUAAUAAAGUAUUGAUGGUGGUUACAAAGCAAAAGAAACGUUUUCCAGAUCAUUUAAGUCACUAGAAUUUUCUGUUGAUCUAAUGUCUAUAGACAAUAGUUGCAUAGGAAGUGUAGAUUCUAUUUCGUGUGAAGGUUGUUGAUGGAGGCAGUUCAGGUUAACAUGCAUGGACGCAAGAGAGUCCCAUCUAUCUAAUUUUGUUCCGAUGUCAUUACUGUAUUUAAAUGGGAAUUCUGAAGUUACUAUCUUGAUUAUAAGUGGUGACAUAAUUAAAUUGCUUCAUUUAUAUGCUGGAACUAUAAAUCUUACAUAAAAGCACUGAUUACUUAUAAGGUUUGUUCAUUUAUGUAUGUAAAAUGGAGAAUUUUAGCUCAUUGAGUGUAAAGGUAUUGUUCCAGUCUAAGUACAUUACCAUGAAAUGUAGCUAGUUUGAGCUUAUAUUAUCUCCUGUAUAUACAUUUAUUUCUUUACAUGUUGACUGAGAACUCCCUUCUAAUUAAAGUGAUGAAUAUGCGGCUUCUUGUGAUGGAAUAAACAAUGUUCAGGCUAAAAUGAAAAUUUCCUCAGCUUUUAUAUUUGGUUCUGUCAUCUGGAGGAUGGUAAGAUCACAUACUUCAUACAAUAAAGAUUAUGGUAUAUUUUGUAUCAGGUCCUAUUAAUAAAGAUUAGUGUAGCAUCAACAUGUACUUUUGAUUGCACGAGAAUCGGAAGAAGAGUAAUUUUUCUUUUCCUCAAACUUUUUUUUACUAAAAAGCAAUAUGUUCUUAUACUUUAAUGAUAAACCAAUUGCAAAGCCUUUAGUCUGUGGACAAGUAACAAAAUUUGGGUGAAGAUGCCAUACUUCCAGCCAGUAAAAAUAUCAACCAUCAAAUUACAAAGUGCCGGAUAGAUGAGGACAUAAGAUUCCUAAUGAAUUUCCUUUCAAUUUUCUUAUGUUCAUGCUUAGGUUGUAGGAAAAACAGUGCUAUGGAUGCUCUCUAAAAACUGUUUGUUUCAUCCCCAAGGAACGGGAAAUUUUUGAUUAAGAGUUAUGUAAAAAGGUCUUAUGUUGUGGGAUCAUAUUUGAUGUCCAAGUUGAUCGUUUAUAUUUCUAUAGAUAAGUAUUAAGAAUUACUUUUCUCUCUGAUUUAUGUGCCUGAAUUAUGUUGUUUCAUCAUAUGUACUCUUCUUCUGAUUUAUGUGCUUGAGUUAUGUUGUUUCAUCAUGUGCUUAGGCAUGAUUUUUUUUAGAGUUGCGGUUAUUUUUGAAAAUUAUGGGUGUUUCUUACUUUCGCGUUUUUGUUGUUAAUAUUGAAUUAUGAUGAGAUUUAGGUGUUCCAGUUGCAUUGUUUGUCAAAAAGAGUGGUGGGUUGGCGUUCUUCAAAGUGUAGUACUUAUGGAGAAGGGAAUUGUUAUUAUCAGGGUGGUCCUUCUCCAGUGAUACCUCCCCCCACAUAUGUUGCUCCCCUGCCUCGCAAAAACAGAGGUUUUCUUAAGGGAUUUAUUCCUGGGUGAUGCAGUGCUGAAAACUUCAGGAAGAUUAGUUGUAUCAAUCAAGAAGGGUCAGUGCAUCCCAAGCCUCUCGAUGAUAUGACCUGAAUAUGCAGGUGAUGAAAUUUGAAUAAUGUUCCCAGGUCAACCCAAUAUAUUCAGGCGAAUAAUAUUAGUGUAUUUGAAUUAUUAUUAUAUAUGUUUGGAUACAUUGUGAAAUUUAGCACAAUUGCUAGUACACCACUUUAAGAUACUCCUUUCAAUAUAUGUAGUACAAGACAUCAUUUUUUAAGUUUAUUGUAAAUCUAUAUAUUGAAUUGUAAAUUAGUUAAUUUGAUGUUUGAGAUUAUUUAUAUUA